rnacentral:rRNA from 1 species
CCUACGGGUGGCAGCAGUAGGGAAUCUUUCACAAUGGGCGAAAGCCUGAUGGAGCAACGCCGCGUGCAGGAUGAAGGCCUUCGGGUUGUAAACUUCUUUUAUAAGCGAGAAAUAUGAUGGUACCUUAUGAAUAAGUAUCGGCUAACUACGUGCCAGACGCCGCGGUCAUACGUAGGAUCCGAGACUAAUCCGGGGUGACGGGGGUUAAAGAGUUUCGUAGGUGGCAUAAUAAGGAGCUAGUGAAAUAUGGUGGCUCAACCAUUCAGACUAAUAGCUAAACUGUUAAGCUCGAGACCGUUAGGGGUAACUGGAAUUUCUGGUGUAGGAGUGAAAUCCGUAGAUAUUAGAAAGAACACCAAUAGCGAAGGCAGGUUACUGGAACGGUACUGACACUGAGGCACGAAAGCGUAGGGAGCAAACGGGAUUAGAUACCCGGGUAGUC